rnacentral:precursor_RNA from 9 species
UACCUGACGCAAGGAAGAUGCAGGAGGUGGCGUUUCUAAGGUCUGCCAAAUUGUCUGAUCGCAAAUUUGGCACACCUAAGGAGCACUCGUUCCCGCUGGCUACGUCCACCUUCUAUC